rnacentral:rRNA from 1 species
AGAGUUGAUCCUGGCUCAGAAUCAACGCUGGCGGCGUGCCUAACACAUGCAAGUCGAACGAGAAAGGGGAGCAAUCCCCAAGUAAAGUGGCGACCGGGUGAGUAACACGUGACUAACCUACCCUCGAGUGUGGAAUAACAUCGGGAAACCGAUGCUAAUACCGCAUAACAUCGCAAGAUCAAAGGAACCAAUCCGCUUGAGGAGGGGGUCGCGGCUGAUUAGCUAGUUGGCGGGGUAACGGCCCACCAAGGCGAAGAUCGGUAGCCGGCCUGAGAGGGCGCACGGCCACACUGGAACUGAAACACGGUCCAGACUCCUACGGGAGGCAGCAGUGGGGAAUUUUGCGCAAUGGGGGAAACCCUGACGCAGCAACGCCGCGUGGAGGAUGAAGCCCCUUGGGGCGUAAACUCCUUUCGACCAAGACGAUAAUGACGGUAC